AGCAGCCGCGGUAAUUCCAGCUCCAAUAGCGUAUAUUAAAGUUGUUGCAGUUAAAAAGCUCGUAGUUGAAUUUCGGGACUAAUAUGUCGGUCGUGCCUCGGUACGCACUGGCUUAUUGGUUUCUCCUUUCUGAAGAACCAUGAUGUCAUUUAUUUGGUGUCGUGGGGAAUCAGGACUGUUACUUUGAAAAAAUUGAGUGUUUAAAGCAGGCUCACGCUUGAAUACAUUAGCAUGGAAUAAUGAAAUAGGACGUUUGAUUCUAUUUUGUUGGUUUCUAGGAUCGACGUAAUGAUUAAUAGGGAUAGUUGGGGGCAUUAGUAUUCAAUUGUCAGAGGUGAAAUUCUUGGAUUUAUUGAAGACUAAACUACUGCGAAAAGCAUUUGCCAAGGAUGUUUUCAUUAAUCAAGAACGAAAGUUAGGGGAUCGAAGACGAUCAGAUACCGUCGUAGUCUUAACCAUAAACUAUAGCCGACUAGGGAUCGGAUGAUGUUAAUUUUUUAAUGUACUCAUUCGGCGUACC
rnacentral:rRNA from 1 species